rnacentral:rRNA from 1 species
CACGUAGGGCGCAAGCGUUGUCCGGAAUUAUUGGGCGUAAAGAGCUCGUAGGCGGUCUGUUGCGUCCGCUGUGAAAACUCGGGGCUUAACCCCGAGCCUGCAGUGGAUACGGGCAGACUAGAGGUAGGUAGGGGAGAAUGGAAUUCCCGGUGUAGCGGUGAAAUGCGCAGAUAUCGGGAGGAACACCGGUGGCGAAGGCGGGACUCUGGGCCGAUACUGAUGCUGAGGAGCGAAAGCGUGGGGAGCAAACAGG